rnacentral:rRNA from 1 species
AAACUUUCAACAACGGAUCUCUUGGCUCUGGCAUCGAUGAAGAACGCAGCGAAAUGCGAUAAGUAAUGUGAAUUGCAGAAUUCAGUGAAUCAUCGAAUCUUUGAACGCACAUUGCGCCCGCCAGUAUUCUGGCGGGCAUGCCUGUUCGAGCGUCAUUACAACCCUCAGGCCCCCG